GGUGUCUGCUGCUCCUUUGUAGAAAUUACAAUGUUAUUUUUCUACUUCACGAGCUGUCCUUUGAAAUGUGUAUUUUCAGAGUUCAGCAGCCUUAGUGCCUGUGGAUCUACACCUCCAUGUAACAUGAGGAAAUCUAGCUCUUGUCCAUCCUCUGUGGAGUUGGAAAAACAUGCAGUUAGUCUCAAAACUGCAUUGAUUUUUGCAGGGUGGGUUGCAGUCCUCUGUGGAUACUGUGGAUAAAAAAACUAAAUAGAACUCUGUAUUUUUAGUUUUCUCUUAGUCCAUGAAGGAAAACAGGAAAAUGUCACAAAGAUCUGUGUCACAGGGGCAGGUCCUCAGUCCUUAGACAAAAGUCCCACUGAAAGUUAAUGAAAUAAUUUACCCAGCGGCUUUCUGCCCUUCUGUCCUGUUCCUUCCAGAAAUCGAGUUGCAAUGCCUGUAAAUCUAAGAUGUAGUAUCAGGAGAAAAUUAAUGACAGCAUCUAGAAGAACCCCAGGUAAAUUUCACACUUUAAUGAUAGGCCACAGAGGAGUGUUUCUGUCUGCAAUCAGAAAGGAGAAAGGCUCUCAAAGCACACCAUAUGGUUAUUUGUCAAAAGGAAGAAAAUACUUCUAUCUGAAAGUUCCGUCCCACAAAAAAGCAUAGUGGAAGUACCGAAACAUCUCAGUGUAAGUGUUCUUUAAAACUUUGCAUGUGACAACAAUUAAAAUGUUCUUGUUUCGGAAUACAUCUGCUCAGCUGACUAUACUGCUGUUUUUUUUUUUUUUUUUUUUUUCUUUUUUCCCAGUAAAUACUUCCAGAAAGAGAUUAUUAAAAGAUUUCAAUAAACAGUCCUAAAGUUUGACCAUUCAUUGCAACAAAUGUUUUUAUGCUUCUGAGCAUCUUUGUUGGACUGUAUUGAUAAUUUCUUCUGCUUGCUUGUCUCUAGCAAAAUCCUCUUACUCUUUUUUAAACAGAGGACAAUGGCAUCUUCACUCAGGCCCCCUGAAUAUUAAUUUACAGAUCAGCCCUCUGUACUACAGAUGUCCUAGAAAACAAGUGUCUGCGUAGAGCUUAUAUCACUGUUUUUGACCUAGUGAACCCUUAACAAAAUGAUACCUUCUCACCCAAGGACUCACUGCUGUCUCUGUCUCAUGGAGUAUAAGGAGGUCCAAUAGCAUGGAUGGGUAAUUAAGAUUCAACAUUUUCAAAACUGUUUCCUGAAAAGAGAGGCUGUGGGCUAAUGUUGUAACAGACAAUUAUAUCCUCUUUGCAGGAAAACAAAG